rnacentral:rRNA from 1 species
GACGAACGCUGGCGGCGUGCCUAAUACAUGCAAGUCGAGCGAAGUUUUUCCGGUGCUUGCACCGGAAAAACUUAGCGGCGAACGGGUGAGUAACACGUAAAGAACCUGCCUCAUAGACUGGGACAACUAUUGGAAACGAUAGCUAAUACCGGAUAAUAGCAUUAACUGCAUGGUUGAUGUUUAAAAGUUGGUUUUGCUAACACUAUGAGAUGGCUUUGCGGUGCAUUAGCUAGUUGGUGGGGUAAAGGCCUACCAAGGCGACGAUGCAUAGCCGACCCGAGAGGGUGAUCGGCCACACUGGGACUGAGACACGGCCCAGACUCCUACGGGAGGCAGCAGUAGGGAAUCUUCCGCAAUGGGCGAAAGCCUGACGGAGCAACGCCGCGUGAGUGAAGAAGGAUUUCGGUUCGUAAAGCUCUGUUGUUAGGGAAGAAUGAUUGUGUAGUAACUAUACACAGUAGAGACGGUACCUAACCAGAAAGCCACGGCUAACUACGUG